rnacentral:rRNA from 1 species
AAGGAACGCUGGCGGCGUGCCUAACACAUGCAGUCGAGGGGUGCCGAUGUAGCAAUAUGUCGGCAUCACUGGCGCACGGGUGAGUAACGCGUAGGCAAUCUACCCUCAGGAUUGGGAUAACCCCGAGAAAUCGGGAUUAAUACCGGGCGAUGCAGCGGCACCGCAUGGUGACAGUUGUUAAAGUCCCGGCGCAAGUCGGGACGCCUGAGGAUGAGCCUGCGUCCUAUCAGGUAGUUGGUGAGGUAACGGCUCACCAAGCCUACGACGGGUAGCUGGCCUGAGAGGGUACGGUCAGCCACACUGGAACUGAGACACGGUCCAGACUCCUACGGGAGGCAGCAGUGAGGAAUAUUGCUCAAUGCCCGCAAGGGUGAAGCAGCGACGCCGCGUGAGGGAUGAAGGCCCUAUGGGUUGUAAACCUCUGUAGGGAGGGAAGAAACUGGUGCUAUGCGCCACUGACGGUACCUCCAAAGUAAGCCCCGGCCAACUGCGUGCCAGCAGCCGCGGUAAUACGUAGGGGGCGAGCGUUGUCCGGAAUCACUGGGUGUAAAGGGUCUGCAAGCGGACCUGCAAGUCAGAGGUGAAAUCCUACAGCUUAACUGUAGAACAGCCUUUGAAACUGUUGGUCUUGAGUCCGGGAGAGGAU